UGAGGAAUAUUGGACAAUGGGCGCAAGCCUGAUCCAGCCAUGCCGCGUGUGUGAAGAAGGUCUUCGGAUUGUAAAGCACUUUAAGUUGGGAGGAAGGGCAGUAAGUUAAUACCUUGCUGUUUUGACGUUACCGACAGAAUAAGCACCGGCUAACUCUGUGCCAGCAGCCGCGGUAAUACAGAGGGUGCAAGCGUUAAUCGGAAUUACUGGGCGUAAAGCGCGCGUAGGUGGUUUGUUAAGUUGGAUGUGAAAGCCCCGGGCUCAACCUGGGAACUGCAUCCAAAACUGGCAAGCCAGAGUACGGUAGAGGGUGGUGGAAUUUCCUGUGUAGCGGUGAAAUGCGUAGAUAUAGGAAGGAACACCAGUGGCGAAGGCGACCACCUGGACUGAUACUGACACUGAGGUGCGAAAGCGUGGGGAGCAAACAGGAUUAGAUACCCAUGUAGUCCCUGAGCGGGCUGGCAAGGCGCAU
rnacentral:rRNA from 1 species